UUUUUCUAGUCUAUUUCCCAGAGUGCUAAGCGGGCCCACUAAAGACAAGGAAGCUGGUGGAGAUGGGAAGACAAGGAAGGCCUCCGCACAGCCCUCUGGGAAACGGAGUCCUCGCUCUGGCGCAGAGGGUGAAGUAGUCGUGAAGAAAUUCUCCUGGCACCGGAAGUGGAUAAGAGGAGGCGCGUGUGAGAGCAGUCGCGUCUCCGCCUCUCACCCGGCUGGCGUCGUGUCUGUUAAUCCGGUGGACUGCAGUCUCGAGGGAGACACACGUCCUCACUCCUCCUCCUGCUUCCGGACGAUUUGGGAGCUCCUCCAGCAUGGCCAGAGAGUCAGCCCUAGGAGGAAGGCACACUUUCUCCCAGUUUCCUAGUCCUUUCUGCUGCCCUGCCAGCCAGGAUUGUGGAGGGGAAGGAGGGGGAGCUUAAAUGAGGACCUGGUUGUUUGGUCCCCAUCAGCUACAACUGAGGUGAGUCAAGUGUCCCUCUCAUCCCAACCUGUCAUUCCCCAGAGGCUGCACAUCUGGCCUGCCUUCUUCCAGCUCACUGUCUUAGGAUGGCCCCCCCUCCCCGCUCCCAAUCAGUCUCAAAGGAAAGCUCUCACACUGUCACUGUCCUGCUCAGUACCCUACCAGAAAUCCUUAUUGCCUGGUACCUUUCCAGAAAUCCUUAUUGCCCUCUGGAUAAAAUCCAGGUUUCUCAGCCCAUCCCUGCAUGACUUGGGUCCUGCCCCCCUCUUCCCUCCUCUUCAGUUUCCCUCACACAAGCUGUACUAUUCCCUUCUUGGCCUUGUGUGAAAAUGUUACUCCAUACUUUCCAGCUUCCUGCCUUUGAUCAGACUCUUCCCUCUGCUAGAAUAUACUGUGGCCACUAUCUCCAGCUGGUAAAUCUUCCACAGCCUUCAAGACUCAGUUUAUUCUCCCCACCUUUCCUGGGCAGCGUUAGCUCCUCACGGCUCUGGUCUCCCAGGUCACCCCUGCCUCCUCCACUGUAACACAGAUCCACCAGGUUGGGGUGUCUCUGCCCAUAUCUGUCAGUCCCAUCAGACUCUGCACUCCACAGGGACAGGUACUAAUUGGGACUCAUCUCUGGGUCUCUAGAGAUAUCACUGGUCUGGCACACUGGAAGCCUUGAGGUGUUUGUUGAAUGAAUGAAUGAAAAUGGAAAUGAAACAGAAACAGACUCACAGACAUAGAGAACCAACUUGUGGUUGCAGA